GACGAACGCUGGCGGCGUGCCUAAUACAUGCAAGUUGAACGCUAAAGCUUUAACUGGUGCUUGCACCGACCUAAGUUUUUAGAGUAGCGGACGGGUGAGUAACACGUGGGUAACCUGCCCAUCAGAGGGGGAUAACACUUGGAAACAGGUGCUAAUACCGUAUAACAACAAAAACCGCAUGGUUUUUGUUUGAAAGAUGGUUUCGGCUAUCACUUGAGGAUGGACCCGCGGCGUAUUAGCUAGUUGGUGAGGUAAUGGCUCACCAAGGCAAUGAUACGUAGCCGACCUGAGAGGGUAAUCGGCCACAUUGGGACUGAGACACGGCCCAAACUCCUACGGGAGGCAGCAGUAGGGAAUCUUCCACAAUGGACGAAAGUCUGAUGGAGCAACGCCGCGUGAGUGAAGAAGGGUUUCGGCUCGUAAAACUCUGUUGUUAAAGAAGAACAGGUGUAAGAGUAACUGUUUACACCGUGACGGUAUUUAACCAGAAAGCCACGGCUAACUACGUGCCAGCCGCCGCCGUAACAC
rnacentral:rRNA from 1 species